AACGAACGCUGGCGGCAGGCCUAACACAUGCAAGUCGAGCGCCCCGCAAGGGGAGCGGCGGACGGGUGAGUAACGCGUGGGAACGUACCCUUUGGUUCGGAAUAGCCCUGGGAAACUGGGAGUAAUACCGGAUACGGUCGAGAGACGAAAGAUUUAUCGCCGAAGGAUCGGCCCGCGUUGGAUUAGGUAGUUGGUGGGGUAAUGGCCUACCAAGCCGACGAUCCAUAGCUGGUUUGAGAGGAUGAUCAGCCACACUGGGACUGAGACACGGCCCAGACUCCUACGGGAGGCAGCAGUGGGGAAUCUUAGACAAUGGGCGCAAGCCUGAUCUAGCCAUGCCGCGUGAGCGAUGAAGGCCUUAGGGUUGUAAAGCUCUUUCGGGGGGGAAGAUAAUGACUGUACCCCCAGAAGAAGCCCCGGCUAACUCCGUGCCAGCAGCCGCGGUAAAAC
rnacentral:rRNA from 1 species